GAUACAAUUUAACUUAUGUUACGGCCAUAAGGUUGGCGUUUUUGUCUUGUGUCU
rnacentral:tRNA from 2 species